GCCAAUAAAAAAUCCAGUGAUCAUGUCAUUAUACCACACAGUUGCUAGCAACUAAAACAGAGUGGCUGGCCAACUCACAUGAUGGCCUCAACUCCAGAAAGAUGCUUCAGAAUCAAUAAUCUCUCUUUACAACAAUUAGCAUCUUUUCAAAAGGACUUAUCCCCAUGUCAAAAGUUAGGAGAUGGCCGGGCGUGUUGGCUCACACCUGUAAUCCCAGCACUUUGGGAGGCUGAGGCGGGCAGAUCACCUGAAGUCAGGAGUUCAAGAUCAGUCUGGCCAACACAGCGAAACCCCAUCUCUACUAAAAAUACAAAAAAUUAGCCAGGCGUGGUGGUGCACACCUGUAUUCCCAGCUACUCGGGAGGCUAGGACAGGAGAAUCACUUGAAUCCAGGAGGUGGAGGCUGCAAUGAGCCAAGAUCAUGCCACUGCACUCCAGCCUGGGCAACAGAAUGAGACUUUGUCUUAAAAAAUAGGGGACCAGGAGAACUAAUGAGAUCAGUCUGUCACUUAUUAGCUAAGUAAUCGAUGGAAAAAUUCCUAUAACCUAAUGGAUUUUAACUAUUAUUUUUUAUAAUAUAAAAUACGGGGAUAAUAAGAAUAUUUACACUAUCUACACUAACUGAAGACUACUGGUCAGAUGAUAUAUAUGUGAAAGCAUUUUGGAAUCUGAUAAACAAAACACAAAAAUCAUUCUAUUUUAUUGUUACUUAAGGUAUAAUCAAUUCUCAAUAAGGACUGUUUCAGAAACAGGGAAACACAUCUAUGCCCUUCAUCUAAAUCAAUUUUAAUGCCAUAAGCAAAUGAGUAAUUACCUGGGAUAAAUACCAAGAGAAGAUGAUUCAGAGAACUUUCAGAACCUUGUGGAAAUACAGUUCUGUUUCUGGGAAUGAACAAUGUACAGCUCAGUCCAGUAUCAAAGAGUUAUUGAUGUAUCUCAAUGCAGUUUAAGACACAUGUAAAUGGAAAGAGUUGGGACAAAAUAAAUAUAGUAAUGGGAAUGUAUAAAUAAAUCUAAGCAUUAUCAUUCGUAAUUUUGAGCCUUUUUAGGUGACUCAAGAGACUGUAUAAUAAGCUUAGUACGGAUGUCACGGGAAGCUGGACAGAAGGAAAACCAGAACCUAGGCCUCACGCACAGAGCAUGCACCUGUGCUUACUCAAUGCAGCAAAAAACACAAGUGUUUCAAGGGAUCCACCAUAAAAGGGACUGCCACACAUCUAAAAAGCAUGUAUAUAUCUCCCUUCUCUUUAAGGUUUUUUUGUAUUGUUAGUGAUCACUUAAUUUACUUAAUGGUUAACUAAAACAGUAUUUCACUUAUAGACUACAUACAUUCCUAAAGUCAUAUGAGGCUAAACAUUCUCCUAUUUUCAAGCUAUCACAGUUUCUAUUAGCAUCUCAGAAUUACUCUCAUUUCAUUAUUUUCUAGUUUAUUCUAUUACAACACAAAGAGGGCAAAAGAGGUAAAUGGCGAAAGGGGGAGAAAUGCCUCAAUCAUCACCCUGGCAACAGCAGGUUCAUAACCCACUAUGUGUAUGUACCUCAACCAAGGCCCAAGGAACAGUUCAUAUGUUUCUGGGGAAGAAAAAUGCAAGUAAGGCCUGGCAUGGUGGCUCAUGACUGUAACCUCAACACUUUGGGAGGCCAAGGUGGGAGGAUCGCUUGAGCUCAGGAGUUUGAGACCAGCCUGGAUAACAAGGCAAGACCCCAUCUCUAUUAAAAAAAAAUAAGAAAAUUAGGUAUGGUGGCUCAUGCCUGUAAUCCCAGAUACUCAGGAGGCUGAAGUGGGAGGAUUUCUUGAGGCCAGGAGUUGGAGGCCUCAUUGAGAGCUGUGAUUAUGCCACUGUACUCCAGCCUGGGUGGCAAAGCAAGACUGUCUCAAAAAACCAAUCAACCAACCAACCAACCAACCAAACAAACACCCAAGUAAAUGUUCUUGAGACCACAUGCCACAUUUAUACAUGUGUGUGUAUGUAUGUAUGUAUGUGUGCGUGUUACAUAUAUAUAUAAAACACCAUUUUUUUUCCAACUCAAUAGGGACAAAUUUUUGUGUUGUGAAUCACUUAACAAUAGCUUUGUAAGUUAUUUUCUUGACUAUUUUGCUAUUCUUGGCAGUCACAGGUCCUGGGAGCUAUUGCUUGCUGGGCAUUUACUAAGGUCAGGUGCUCUGCAUACACAUCCUCAUUUGACCUUCAGGACAGCCCCGGAGGGAAGGCGUGGUAACCUCCAUUUUACAGAUGAGGAAGGGAUCAGUGAGGGUGGGGAACAAGUCUAAAGUACAGCUCUACUAAGCAGCAGAGCUGGAUCUGAAUCCAGGUUUGCCUGAUUCUAAAGCCCUCUCUAUUAAUCCUCAUGUAUUUCUAUUAAUUAAUUUUUAAUCCCCAAAUAUCAAACUGAACUUUGAAAUUCUU
rnacentral:lncRNA from 10 species